AAAAAAAAAAAUCGUGAAUUCCCGUACUAACGUUUAACUGUCCGUCUUAUAUGAAAUUUUUUAUAAUUAGUAUUUUUAUUGUUGUUUAAUGAUAAAACAUGAUUAAUACUUUAUGCGUGACUUAUCUUUUUAAUUUUUUUAUAACUUUUUCAAAUAAGACGAACGGUUAAAUAUUGGACACGGAAAUCAGGAUCUGUCUUUUUU
rfam:Oryza glaberrima chromosome 1 Oglab01_0295_8, whole genome shotgun sequence.